CCUACGGGUGGCAGCAGUGAGGAAUAUUGGUCAAUGGGCGCGAGCCUGAACCAGCCAAGUAGCGUGAAGGAUGACUGCCCUACGGGUUGUAAACUUCUUUUAUCAAGGAGUAAAGUGAGGCCCGUGUGCCUUUUUGUAUGUCCUUUAUGAAUAAGGAUCGGCUAAAUCCGUGCCAGCAGCCGCGGUAAUACGGAGGAUCCGAGCGUUAUCCGGAUUUUUUGGGUUUAAAGGGAGCCUAGAUGGGUUGUUAAGUAAGUGGUGAAAGUGUGCGGCUCAACCGUAAAAUUGCAAUUGAUACUGGCAGUCUUGAGUACAGUUGAGGUAGGCGGAAUUCGUGGUGUAGCGGUGAAAUGCUUAGAUAUCACGAAGAACUCCGAUUGCGAAGGCAGCUUACUAAACUGCCACUGACAUUGAUGCUCGAAAGUGUGGGUAUCAAACAGGAUUAGAUACCCCUGUAGUC
rnacentral:rRNA from 1 species